AGAGUUUGAUCCUGGCUCAGGAUGAACGCUAGCGGCAGGCCUAAUACAUGCAAGUCGGACGGGAUCCGGCCUUUCGGGGCCGGUGAGAGUGGCGGACGGGUGCGUAACGCGUAUGCAACCCACCCUGUCCCGGCGGGUAGCCGGUGGAAACGCCGGGUAAUCCGCCAUGCGCCCCUGGGGGGCAUCCCCUUGGGGUGAAAGCGGCGACGCGGGACGGGACGGGCAUGCGUCCCAUUAGGUAGUCGGCGGGGUGACGGCCCACCGAGCCCACGAUGGGUAGGGGAUCUGAGAGGACGGUCCCCCACACUGGCACUGAGACACGGGCCAGACUCCUGCGGGAGGCAGCAGUAGGGGAUAUUGGGCAAUGGGGGCAACCCUGACCCAGCCAUGCCGCGUGAGGGAAUGAGGCCCUACGGGUCGUGAACCUCUUUUGACCGGGGACAAUGUCCCGCACGAGAUGCGGGAUUGAGGGUACCGGUGGAAUAAGCAUCGGCUAACUCCGUGCCAGCAGCCGCGGUAGUACGGAGGAUGCGAGCGUUAUCCGGAUUCAUUGGGUUUAAAGGGUGCGCAGGCGGCGCGUUAAGUCAGCGGUGAAAUGUCGGGGCUCAACCCCGGCACUGCCGUUGAAACUGGCGUGCUCGAGUACGGAUAAAGCGGGCGGAAUGUGAUGUGUAGCGGUGAAAUGCUUAGAUAUGUCACAGAACACCGAUUGCGAAGGCAGCUCGCUAAUCCGCAACUGACGCUCAUGCACGAAAGCGUGGGGAUCGAACAGGAUUAGAUACCCUGGUAGUCCACGCAGUAAACGAUGAAGGCUAGCUAUUGGCGAUAUACAGUCAGUGGCCAAGGGAAACCGAUAAGCCUUCCACCUGGGGAGUACGCCGGCAACGGUGAAACUCAAAGGAAUUGACGGGGGCCCGCACAAGCGGAGGAACAUGUGGUUUAAUUCGAUGAUACGCGAGGAACCUUACCCGGGCUUGAAAGUUAGUGCCGGACCUGGAAACAGGUCCUUCCGCAAGGACACGAAACUAGGUGCUGCAUGGUUGUCGUCAGCUCGUGCCGUGAGGUGUCGGCUCAAGUGCCAUAACGAGCGCAACCCUUGUCGCCAGUUGCCAUCAUUAGGUUGGGGACUCUGGCGAGACUGCCGCCGCAAGGUGAGAGGAAGGGGGGGAUGACGUCAAAUCAGCACGGCCCUUACGUCCGGGGCGACACACGUGUUACAAUGGAUGGUACAGAGGGCAGCGAAGGGGCGACCCGGAGCGAAUCUCAGAAAGCCAUUCCCAGUUCGGAUCGGAGUCUGCAACCCGACUCCGUGAAGCUGGAUUCGCUAGUAAUCGCGCAUCAGCCAUGGCGCGGUGAAUACGUUCCCGGGCCUUGCACUCACCGCCCGUCA
rnacentral:rRNA from 1 species